UCCGGUUGAUCCUGCCAGAGGCCGCUGCUAUCCGGCUGGGACUAAGCCAUGCUAGUCUAGGGGCUUGUACCCCUUCGGGGGUGCAAGCACCGGCGGACGGCUCAGUAACACGUGGACAACCUGCCCUCGGGUGGGGGAUAACCCCGGGAAACUGGGGCUAAUCCCCCAUAGGUGAUGGGUGCUGGAAUGCCCCAUCUCCGAAAGCGCUCAGCGCCCGAGGAUGGGUCUGCGGCGGAUUAGGUAGUUGGUGGGGUAACGGCCCACCAAGCCUAAGAUCCGUACGGGCUGUGGGAGCAGGAGCCCGGAGAUGGACCCUGAGACAAGGGUCCAGGCCCUACGGGGCGCAGCAGGCGCGAAACCUCCGCAAUGCGGGAAACCGCGACGGGGUUAGCCGGAGUGCCCGUGCAUUGCACGGGCUGUCGGGGUGCCUAAACAGCACCCCAUAGCAAGGGCCGGGCAAGGCCGGUGGCAGCCGCCGCGGUAAGACCGGCGGCCCGAGUGGCGGCCACUCUUAUUGGGCCUAAAGCGUCCGUAGCCGGCCCAGUAAGUCCCCCGGGAAAUCUGGUCGCUUAACGAUCAGACUUCCGGGGGAUACUGCUGGGCUAGGGACCGGGAGAGGCCGAGGGUAUUCCCGGGGUAGGGG
rnacentral:rRNA from 1 species